UCAGGGAUGUCGGAAAGGCACCCAAAACAUCCACUGAGUGAGAAUCGAGCCACCGGAUAGCAGUAAAACUCUAGGUUAAACCACCAGAAACCCUAGAAGGCGAUAGGUCACCGAAAAAUCACUCAAAAAUCAGCAGAAAAUCUCCCAAAACGUUCGAGUGAAGAAAAUACACUCAAAUAUCAUGAUGAAAAACUCGGAAAGGCAUCCGAUCUAGGUCGGAAUCAUCAUCGACCAUAAGGUAUCAGAAAAAUCCCUAAAAAUCUCAAAGAAGAGUUCAACCAAGACAACGAGAUGCAGAGAAACAUAGUCGCAUCGUCGUCUAGGCUCUGAUACCAUGUAAACAAUGAGAUUAAACCGAAAAAUCAUGAAGAAUGUAGAGAGAGAAUCUAGAGAGAAGGAGGAGCGUCUGAGAGAAGACUCUGGAAGCCAGAGAAUUUUAUUAAACAGAAAACAAAAUGAAAUG
rnacentral:lncRNA from 1 species